rnacentral:rRNA from 1 species
CCUACGGGUGGCAGCAGUAAGGGAUAUUGGACAAUGGGGGAAACCCUGAUCCAGCAACGCCGCGUGAGGGAAGACGGGUUUCGGAUUGUAAACCUCUGUCCUCGGUGAAGAUGAUGACGGUGGCAGAGGAGGAAGCUGCGGCUACCUACGAGCCAGCAGCAGCGGUAAUAGUAAGGGAGCGGGCGUUGUCCGGAUUUACUGGGUGUAAAGGGUGCGUAGGCGGCUUUGCAAGUCAGGAGUGAAAGGCAUGGGCUCAACCCAUGCACUGCUAUUGAAACUGUGGAGCUUGAGUGAAGUAGAGGUAAGCGGAAUUCCCGGUGUAGCGGUGAAAUGCGUAGAGAUCGGGAGGAACACCAGUGGCGAAGGCGGCCUACUGGGCUUUAACUGACGCUGAGGCACGAAAGCGUGGGUAGCAAACAGGAUUAGAUACCCUUGUAGUC